GGGUUAAAGUUUAUACUUAAAUAUCUAUUUUGCAUAUAGAAGAAUAGAAAAUUCUAUAACCUGAA
rnacentral:tRNA from 1 species